rnacentral:lncRNA from 1 species
UUACAAUCAAGGAGAACCUUCUCCAUUUAGUUGGGCCAUUGGCCAUAUAUAUAUUCAUGUAAUCGCUGGACAAAGGGCAAGCAAGAAUUAUAUUCCUAAUCCUCCCUUCUCUGUUAAGCCUACGGUUGAGGGGUAUAACCUCACCGGAGAAGACGGCCGCCGGCUACGAGUUGCGUAGUCGCGAUCCGGCCAGUCGGGGGCUCGACGCCCUUGACA